rnacentral:lncRNA from 1 species
AUGGAAUUCCUCACGCCAAGGGCGGGGAGGGAAGAGCGGCGCCGCGAGCCGUGGCGAAUCUGCCGCCCCCGCCGCCUCUCCUCGCCCUUUUCGCUGUUGUCUCCUUUUCUUAAACUUCCCUUCAAAUUGUACCGGGAGCGAAGCUCGUUUGCCACCGCUGAUCCCUCCGCGGGCGGGGCCGCAUCACCGCGGGUGCCUCCGGCGGAGCCCUCUGCUUUUCACAUUUGGGGGCUUUUAGGGUGCUGGGCCAAGGAUCCUUUAGGGAUGGAAUCACAUCUUCAGCUUUACUUUCGUCUUCAAAUACAACUUCAACACAGGUUUUGUUUUGCAAGUCACAGAGUCGCCCAUGGCUGGUUUUUCACUUGGCUGCAGCAGUUAAAGCAGAGCUACAGUGGAAGAUAUAUUUCUUGUGGAUGUUGCUGUGAGAUUGCAGAAGUCUUGGAAUUAUCCUCUCCCAGAUUAUCCUCCUCACAGUUCAUUCCUAUGGGAUGUGGCCAUGGAGGAAUUGGAAUAUUUGGGAAUAGUCAAGGAGGUUACAGCACCUAUUUUUCCCUCUCCGUCACUCCUCUGGCACCUCAUUAGUGCAG